rnacentral:rRNA from 1 species
UCCAGAGGGGGCAAGCGUUGUUCGGAAUUACUGGGCGUAAAGGGCGCGUUGGCGGCCUGCUAAGUCGAACGUGAAAUCCCUGGGCUCAACCCAGGAACUGCGUCCGAUACUGGUUGGCUUGAAUCCGGGAGAGGGAUGUGGAAUUCCAGGUGUAGCGGUGAAAUGCGUAGAUAUCUGGAGGAACACCGGUGGCGAAGGCGGCAUCCUGGACCAACACUGACGCUGAGGAGCGAAAGCCAGGGGAGCAAACGGG